UGGGGAAUAUUGCACAAUGGGGGAAACCCUGAUGCAGCCAUGCCGCGUGUGUGAAGAAGGCCUUCGGGUUGUAAAGCACUUUCAGCGAGGAGGAAAGGGUGGAAGCUAAUACCUUUCAUCUGUGACGUUACUCGCAGAAGAAGCACCGGCUAACUCCGUGCCAGCAGCCGCGGUAAUACGGAGGGUGCAAGCGUUAAUCGGAAUUACUGGGCGUAAAGCGCACGCAGGCGGUUAUAUAAGUCAGAUGUGAAAGCCCCGGGCUCAACCUGGGAACUGCAUUUGAAACUGUGUAACUAGAGUCUUGUAGAGGGGGGUAGAAUUCCAGGUGUAGCGGUGAAAUGCGUAGAGAUCUGGAGGAAUACCGGUGGCGAAGGCGGCCCCCUGGACAAAGACUGACGCUCAGGUGCGAAAGCGUGGGGAGCAAACA
rnacentral:rRNA from 1 species